CAGCAAGCCGGAACAAAGGGGAAAAGGACGAAAAGGCGGCAAUUGCGAUGAAAUAAAGAAAAAUGAAAAAGAUCUUUGUUAAAAAAUAAAAAAAUAAAAACGAAACAUUGCUAAAUGAUGCGCGUUGCGAACGCUGGUCGAAAUCGUCUGCUUCUAAUAUAAACUGAAUUCGUUCUUUACUCCGCUUCAGUUGGCAGCGCGCUCUCGUAGCCUUCAGUGUCAUCCUGCCCUCUGUGAGAAAUUCGUUAAAUCAUUCGGGAUUCUGCCUUCGUGCGAGGAAGUUACAUCUUCGCCGACUCGGGAGCUAAUCGCCGGGAGAAAGGAUUAACGAAAUUCCAUCCCUUUUGAAUUUCGCUUGCAUGGUUGUCACCUAAGGAAUUAUUUGAAGUAUUGAGAACUGAAUUCGUUCCUGAUACUCUAAGCUAUUUUAAGGAAGCGAACUUUUGUAUAUUGAGCAAUGGGAGU